CCUACGGGAGGCUGCAGUGAGGAAUAUUGGUCAAUGGACGCAAGUCUGAACCAGCCAAGUCGCGUGCAGGAUGACGGCCCUCCGGGUUGUAAACUGCUUUUGGUUGGGAAUAAAAGGGGGCUCGUGAGCCCCGUAUUGUAUAUACCAUCAGAAAAAGGACCGGCUAAUUCCGUGCCAGCCGCCGCGGUAAUACGGGAGGUCCGGGCGUUAUCCGGAUUUAUUGGGUUUAAAGGGAGCGUAGGCCGGCUUUUAAGUCAGCUGUGAAAGUCCGGGGCUCAACCGCGGAAUUGCAGUUGAAACUGGAGGCCUCGAGUGCACACAGGGAUGACGGAAUGCACGGUGUAGCGGUGAAAUGCUUAGAUAUCAUGAAGAACUCCGAUUGCGAAGGCAAGUGGCCGGGG
rnacentral:rRNA from 1 species